ensembl:snRNA U6 U6 spliceosomal RNA
GUGCUCACUGGGGCAGCACGUAGACUAGGACCGGAACGAGACAGAGACGAUGGGCACGGCCCUGCACAAGGUGACAUGCACACUCGUGAGUGUUCCACCACCGUU